rnacentral:tRNA from 1 species
UGGCUCAGAGGUUAAGAGCACUGGGUGCUCUUCCAGAGGUCCUGAGUUCAAUUCUCAG